rnacentral:rRNA from 1 species
GACGAACGCUGGCGGCGUGCUUAACACAUGCAAGUCGAACGGAAAGGCCCUGCUUUUGUGGGGUGCUCGAGUGGCGAACGGGUGAGUAACACGUGAGUAACCUGCCCUUGACUUUGGGAUAACGUCAGGAAACUGGGGCUAAUACCGGAUAGGAGCUCCUGCUGCAUGGUGGGGGUUGGAAAGUUUCGGCGGUUGGGGAUGGACUCGCGGCUUAUCAGCUUGUUGGUGGGGUAGUGGCUUACCAAGGCUUUGACGGGUAGCCGGCCUGAGAGGGUGACCGGCGACAUUGGGACUGAGAUACGGCCCAGACGCCUACGGGAGGCAGCAGUGGGAAAUAUUGCACAAUGGGCGGAAGCCUGAUGCAGCAACGCCGCGUGCGGGAUGACGGCCUUCGGGUUGUAAACCGCUUUCGCCUGUGACGAAGCGUGAGUGACGGUAAUGGGUAAAGAAGCACCGGCUAACUACGUG